rnacentral:rRNA from 1 species
AAGUCGUAACAAGGUUUCCGUAGGUGAACCUGCGGAAGGAUCAUUAAUUGCGGUAGUUUACUACUGUUUGAAGGGGGUGGAAACUUCUCAGGUCUCCCUGGGAAGAAGUACGCUUCUUUUCUUAACCCUUGACUUUUUGCGUACUCAUGUUUCCUCGGUGGGCUUGCCCACCGGUUGGACUAUUCUAUAACCUUUUUAAUUUUCAAUCAGCGUCUGAAUUAUCAUAAUAAUUACAACUUUCAACAACGGAUCUCUUGGUUCUGGCAUCGAUGAAGAACGCAGCGAAAUGCGAUAAGUAGUGUGAAUUGCAGAAUUCAGUGAAUCAUCGAAUCUUUGAACGCACAUUGCGCCCCUUGGUAUUCCAUGGGGCAUGCCUGUUCGAGCGUCAUUUGUACUCUCAAGCCUAGCUUGGUGUUGGGUGUUUUGUCUUUGCUAUGCUUAGACUCGCCUUAAAUUCAUUGGCAGCCGAUAUAUUGGUUUGAAGCGCAGCACAUUUUGCGAUUUAAGCUUAUAGCUAUUGGUAUCCAUUAAGAAUACUUAACACUUUUGACCUCGGAUCAGGUAGGGAUACCCGCUGAACUUAAGCAUAUCAAUAAGCGGAGGAAAAGAAACCAACAGGGAUUGCCCUAGUAACGGCGAGUGAAGCGGCAACAGCUCAAAUUUGAAAUCUGGCUCUUUUAGAGUCCGAGUUGUAAUUUGCAGAGGGCGCUUUGGCGUUGGCAGCGGUCCAAGUUCUUUGGAACAGGACGUCACAGAGGGUGAGAAUCCCGUACGUGGUCGCUAUCCUUCGCCGUGUAAAGCCCCUUCGACGAGUCGAGUUGUUUGGGAAUGCAGCUCUAAAUGGGAGGUAAAUUUCUUCUAAAGCUAAAUAUUGGCCAGAGACCGAUAGCGCACAAGUAGAGUGAUCGAAAGAUGAAAAGCACUUUGGAAAGAGAGUCAAAUAGCACGUGAAAUUGUUGAAAGGGAAGCGCUUGCAGCCAGACUUGCCUGUAGUUGCUUAUCUGGACUUUUGUCCGGUGCACCCUUCUGCGGGCAGGCCAGCAUCAGUUUGGGCGGUUGGAUAAAGGUCUCUGUCAUGUACCUCUCUUCGGGGAGGCCUUAUAGGGGAGACGACAUGCAACCAGCCUGGACUGAGGUCCGCGCAUCUGCUAGGAUGCUGGCGUAAUGGCUGUAAGCGGC